CUCCUAUAGACAACAUCAUUCGG
rnacentral:piRNA from 1 species